rnacentral:rRNA from 1 species
CCAGCAGCUGCGGUAAUUCCAGCUCCAAUAGCGUAUAUUAAAGUUGUUGCAGUUAAAAAGCUCGUAGUUGAACUUUAGGCAAGGCGACCUGGUCACCCACUGGGUGUACUGGGUUCGCCGCGCCUCACCUUCGGGGAACUAGUCGUGCUUCGGUGCGCUAGGGAACCGAGCCUUACUUUGAAGAAAUUAGAGUGUUUAAAGCAGGCUUACGCUUGAAUACGCCAGCAUGGAAUAACAAGAUAGGACUUUGGUUCUAUUUUGUUGGUUUGAGGACCAAAGUAAUGAUUAAUAGGGCCAGUCGGGGGCAUUAGUAUUCUAUAGUCAGAGGUGAAAUUCUUGGAUUUAUAGAA